rnacentral:lncRNA from 1 species
CCAAAAAGUUUUCAAGAUUCUCCGUCAUAUCAAAUCUUACGGCACAUACAUGAAGCAUUAAAUAUAGAUAAAAAUAAAAACUAAUUACACAGUUUGUCUGUAAAUUGCGAGACAAAUCUUUUGAUCCUACUUAGUUUAUGAUUGGAUAAUAUUUGUCAAAUAAAAACGAAAAUACUACAGUAGCUAAAUCCGAAAUUAUUUCGAAACUAAACAAGGCCCUGGUUGCAAAAAAUUCUCGGUGGCGGCGCCCAUGCCCGGGGGCCGGGGACGGGGAUGCCCCCGGGACGCUCCCCUGUUCAAGCUCAAGUUUCUAUCCAUGGCCGGGGGAGGCGAAAGGCGACUACGCUGUGGGGCCGACGACGCCCCGUGCCGUGCAGGACGCUGGUGUGCUGUACUAUGCCUGUACCGCGGCUUGACCAAUGGCCAUGGCGAAACUGCACUGUGCUCCACUGCUCCUUGCCGCUAGAGAUCGCGUCGAGGAGAGCGGAGCACAGCGCAGCCGCGGCUUGGCUUGGCUUGGCUUGGCUGGACCGGCGAGAUCGGGAUUGGUGGAAGACGGGAGUUGGGUAGGGUCCAGGAGGCAGCAGCAGGAGGCAGGAGCCAGUCUCCCUCGCUCUCGCUGUCCCACGCAACACUCAACAGCCAGCCGUGUCGUGUUCCUCCGGGUGAUGCGAGCCGCGUGCCGUAGCGGUAACGGUAGCGGUUGCGCGCGCACUUGCGCCGCCUUCUGGGAUUGGCGUGCGUGGGCGGCGAAACGGGAAUUCACU